rnacentral:rRNA from 1 species
GACGAACGCUGGCGGCGUGCUUAACACAUGCAAGUCGAACGGAAAGGCCCUGCUUUUGUGGGGUGCUCGAGUGGCGAACGGGUGAGUAACACGUGAGUAACCUGCCCUUGACUUUGGGAUAACUUCAGGAAACUGGGGCUAAUACCGGAUAGGAGCUCCUGCUGCAUGGUGGGGGUUGGAAAGUUUCGGCGGUUGGGGAUGGACUCGCGGCUUAUCAGCUUGUUGGUGGGGUAGUGGCUUACCAAGGCUUUGACGGGUAGCCGGCCUGAGAGGGUGACCGGCCACAUUGGGACUGCGAUACGGCCCAGUCGCCUACGGGAGGCAGCAGUGGGGAAUAUUGCACAAUGGGCGGAAGCCUGAUGCAGCAACGCCGCGUGCGGGAUGACGGCCUUCGGGUUGUAAACCGCUUUCGCCUGUGACGAAGCGUGAGUGACGGUAAUGGGUAAAGAAGCACCGGCUAACUACGUG